GGAUGUGAGGGCAGUCUGGCUGCGACAUCUGUCACCCCAUCGAUCGCCAGGGCUGAUCCGGCUGAUCUGGCUGGCUAGGCAGGUGUCCCCUUCCUCCCUCACUGCUCCAUGUGCGUCCCUCCCAAAGCUGCGCGCUCAGUCGAAGAAGACGACCUUCCCCGAUAGAGGAGGACCAUUCUUUGGUCAAGGGUAUAUGAGUAGCUGCACCUCCCUGUUAGAACCUCCAAACAAGCUCUCAAGAGUUGCCUUGCUGGAGGAAUUCAGCAGUUUCCCAGGCUGCUAUGGUCGUGGCAGUUUGGCCCAGUCCAAAGGU
rnacentral:snRNA from 1 species